rnacentral:rRNA from 1 species
GACGAACGCUGGCGGCGUGCCUAAUACAUGCAAGUUGAGCGGUGAAGCUUGGUGCUUGCGCCGAUUUGGAGAGCAGCGCACGGGUGAAUAACGCGUGGAGCCUCUGCCUUUGAGCGGGGGACAACAUGUGGAAACGGGUGCUAAUCCCGCAUAACAACUUUAAACAUGAGGUUUAAGGUUAAAAGAUGCAAUUGCAGCACUCACAGAUGAUCCAGCGUCGUAUUGGCGAGGUGGUGGGGUACAAGCGCUCCGAGGGGAUGAUACAUCGUCGCACUGAGAGGGUGAGCGGCCACAUUGGGACUGUGACACGCCACAAACGGCUACGGGAGGCAGCAGGAGGGAAUCUGCGGCAAUGGACGAAAGUCUGACCGAGAAACGCCGCGGGCGGGAAGAAGGGUGUCGGAUCGGAAAUCUCUGUUGUUAGAGAAGAAAGCGGGUUAGAGUGUAAAGCUCAGCAAGUGACGGUAACUACUCAGAAAGCGACGGCUAACUACGUG